UGGGGAAUAUUGCACAAUGGGCGCAAGCCUGAUGCAGCCAUGCCGCGUGUGUGAAGAAGGCCUUCGGGUUGUAAAGCACUUUCAGCGGGGAGGAAGGCGAUAAGGUUAAUAACCUUGUCGAUUGACGUUACCCGCAGAAGAAGCACCGGCUAACUCCGUGCCAGCAGCCGCGGUAAUACGGAGGGUGCAAGCGUUAAUCGGAAUUACUGGGCGUAAAGCGCACGCAGGCGGUCUGUCAAGUCGGAUGUGAAAUCCCCGGGCUCAACCUGGGAACUGCAUUCGAAACUGGCAGGCUAGAGUCUUGGAGAGGGGGGUAGAAUUCCAGGUGUAGCGGUGAAAUGCGUAGAGAUCUGGAGGAAUACCGGUGGCGAAGGCGGCCCCCUGGACGAAGACUGACGCUCAGGUGCGAAAGCGUGGGGAGCAAACAGG
rnacentral:rRNA from 1 species